rnacentral:tRNA from 2 species
GUCCCUAUCGUCUAGAGGCCUAGGACAUCGCCCUUUCACGGCGGUAACCGGGGUUCGAAUCCCCGUAGGGAUGCCA